rnacentral:rRNA from 1 species
UACGUAGGGUGCAAGCGUUAAUCGGAAUUACUGGGCGUAAAGCGUGCGCAGGCGGUGCUGUAAGACAGAUGUGAGAUCCCCGGGCUCAACCUGGGAACUGCAUUUGUGACUGCAUCGCUGGAGUGCGGCAGAGGGGGGUGGAAUUCCGCGUGUAGCAGUGAAAUGCGUAGAUAUGCGGAGGAACACCGAUGGCGAAGGCAAUCCCCUGGGCCUGCACUGACGCUCAUGCACGAAAGCGUGGGGAGCAAACAGG